rnacentral:lncRNA from 1 species
UAACCGUUAGUACGUUUAAAGCGGGUACGUAUUAACGAGCGUCGACCAGAAUGUCACUAUUUAGAAUGGCUCACUUCACUUGCAUACGCCUACACUGAAUAUCAUCCACCAUCUAUGCCUUGGCAUGAGAGAAAUAUGUUCGCAGUUGUGUACAUAAUGUGGCAUAAACGUUGCAGUGUUUUUAGCAAUGUUGCUAGAAACCUAGUUCCUGUAAAGAAAAUGCAGUUCAAGUUAGUCAUUCCUGCAGGCCAGGAGUUGUUUUUAUUGUAUUUUUGACAAUCAUGAAGUGAUUGUUGCUUGUACAAGGUACGUGAGCUUGUUAUUUUUGGUCUCAUCAUUUGUGUUAGCAUUACGUUUGAAAGUACAGUUUGUAGAAGAGCUCUGUUCAUAUAUACUUUUGAUCACAUUUUGGAAUGUUUUUGAUACUAUUUAACUUUUGCUUAGGUGUCCACCUGUUCAGUGCUGUGAGCUGCAUUUGUAGCUGCCACUUGCACUUGGAAAGUACAUGCUGAAAUCUUUUACAAAUUUUGAACUUUUUGACUUGUGUUACUUGUGUUACACCUAUAUUUCGACACAGGAGAGCUUAGAUACUUUUUUGAAACAUUUUGCUGCCCCACUUGUUGCUCCAUGAUCGUUUGUAAAUUGCCAGUGCGUCUUUUUUUUUUUUUUCUCGGAGACGGAACUUGCAUUUAUUUUAGACUAAGUGGCUCAGGGUGCUAUUUCUUCUUUUUCAUUCAUGGCUAGCAGUUAUGCAUAUGUAUCUGUAUGCAAGGGACGAAUUGGCAUUGUACUAAAUGCUAAUUAAACAUUGGGGACACCUUUCAACAAUUUGCUUUAACAUAAUGGCUGAAGCUAAAGCCUGAAAGUGUUGCAGAGUGAACCUAGUGAGUGUUUUGCCAUUAAUAGGCCUUUGAACACUAGCAGAGUGCUACCGUACCAAUGUAGAGCAAUGUUGUUAGCCAUUUGGAGGCAACUUACCUGUAGCAUUGUGUUGCAAGCAAAAUAGUAAGCAAAGCUUGUUUUAUGCUUACACACCUGCAUGUGGUACAAAAAUUGUUUUUUCUAUGUAUGUUCAAUAAAAACCAUUUGUCAGUUCA